UAUUAGACUUGAUUUUUAAUAUUUUUGGUAAAAUUUGAAAAUAAUUCAACAAUUCAAGAAGGAAGUAUUGGUACUAGAAAUUCAACAUUUAGAUUGGGGUAGAAGGCUACUUAAUAUGUAAUUAGAUUAUCUUGUAUUUCUCUUAAUUGAUAAGUGCAAUUGAUUUCAUCUUUCUUGUACUUUUUUCUAAGUAAGAUAUUAAGAAGUGUAAAAAUUUUGAGUUGAUAUCAAUGGUUUGAUUAUUAAUUAUUGUUGUCUCAUUUGCUAUAGAAUUAUUAAGAGUUUGUUUAAGAUUUAGGAUUUGAUUAGGAUUUGGUUUCAUAUUUGGUCUAGAAUUUGCUUAGGAUUUGAUUUAGAACUUAUUUAGGAUUUGUCUAGGAUUUAAGAUUUAUUAGGAUUUGAGCUAGGAUUUGAUGACGAUUCAAUUAGGAUUUCAUUAAGA
rnacentral:lncRNA from 1 species